AGCUUUACUUCUCCUAUCAGUAAGCAAGUCUUUUUCCAUGGUGCCCUUUACAGCAUGGGUCAAAAUGACCAUUGUCUGUACAUUUCAGCCCAGACCAAAAUCGCAUAUGUCCUUUAAAGUGUUGAACAAGACUUUUGAGACAGGCAAUGUUUGCUGUGUCGUUCAGCACAAACAUUUGACUUGGUGUCUUGAGACAAAAUCUGCAUGCAGACGUGAAGUAACUAGAAUGGAAAAUACAUAUUUCAUUAGAUGGUGGAGGGAGGCCUGACAAGAUAUGAAAUGGCAAAAAUGUUGUUAUUUUGUGAAGACUUAUAUGAUUUUUAUAUCACCAGGGUCUGACAGUGUUUUCUGUCCCUUCACAGCUCUCAACAGUUUUUUUUCCAGUUUGAGGCAGCUGCAUCAUGAUGUGUUGGAUGAGUCAGUGGGCAAUGAGGGAGAAGUGGAGACCCAGGUGCUGAGGAAAAAGGAAGAGACUAAGAGAUGGAAGAAUUUGUAAGCAAGAUUGAUUAUGUUGGAUUCUCAAUGAGCAGAAGAUCCAGUUUUCACUGCUGCUGGAAAUUUUUAAACAGCAAGAAGAUAAAUUUGUGAAGAAGGAAACAUACAAAGCUACAAGAUGGAGGAUCAAAGGCUUGUCUUCAAUGGGUAAUUGUAUGUUGAGAAGAAAAUUGAAGGGGAAAGGAGGAAGAUCUCGGCAUAUGCAUUUCAAGUGGUAGUUGAGCAAAGAGCUCUGUACCAGCCCCUGGAACAGUGAGCAGAUUAGCAAGGUUCUGAAUUAAUUGGAAACACCAGCUUCCUGGAAGACUUGAAUCAUACAAGAGCCAGGCGGCUGAAGCAGAAUGAGGCAACGGUUGGAUAAUGCUGCUGCAGGAACACGCACCAGCAGUACAGGCAAGCUCCCAGCACACCCACUUCAAAGGCAGGUUUUUUUCAGCAUUUACCAUAAAUCCAAAGAUGGUUCUUUGAGACAUACACUCUGCUUUGUGAUCAAAUGACACUCUGGGAAAACUUCAGUAUUCUCCUUAUGCUACAGCUUUAUGUAAAGUGACCUGAAGGUUGAGGCAAGGAAAUACUGCACUCUGACACCACCAGCCAGGGCUUUUGAUGACACGUUCUUCUAUGAAAUUUUCUGCCAAACUUCAACUACCCCCGACUGUCUUCCAGAAAUCCCCUUCAAGGCCUGUCGUUGCUGCACUGCCUACAAAUCACUGUCACCUGGCAGUCUUGACACUGGAGGCCAUCUGUGACCAUGGUGACUUCUGAUUUAUGUGAGCACACCCAUCUUCAUUAUUCAUGCCACUCAAUUUCUUGUCUUGGGAAUAUGGAGUGCAAAGACUCUGGGGUCGGA